AUUCAGAAAGGCUGGUUUACCCAGCACAGUCUUGAAUGGUCCAACAAUGGCUGUCCUGGUAGCUUCGCAGUGCUGGAGGUAACAUGCCUCAGCAGUCCAACAAGACCACAAGGCUUUAAGGAUUCCUGGAGAGCCACGACUAGUCUUUAGUCUGUGGAAGAACCUGGAUUCUGAUCUCAGUGGAUGAGGCCAGAGGCAGCAACAUCAACAAUGGCAGAAACACUAGGCACGUCACCCACUGAUGAAGACACUCAAGAUUUAAGAUGCUUUUCUGGCGAGAAAGGGAACAAGAGAGAUACACAUAGAGACAGAUAGAGGACUGAGGAAUAAGAACUUCCUUAGGAACAUGUCUUCAUGGAUUACCCCACUUUACUAUGAGGAUGUUGGAACACAGAAAGAUUAAGUAACUGUCAAAUAUCUCACAAUUGGUGUACCUGUAAGAAGAUUGCGUUCACUACUGAGGCUUGCAUCUGUCUGGUGGACUAACAGGAUGAGUCUGCUGGGAGAGUACUUACAAGAGACUGAAAACUUGAGAAAAGUCCUCCAGGCAGAAAAUUUCAGAAACGAUAAUAAAGAUUCAGCAGUUGGAACUGAUGGGAGUGAACUCCUGAAGUGAUUUGGAUGGCCACAAAAUCAAUUCCUUGCUCUGGAUGAUUUUUGUUUACUUCCCUAUUGGACGCUGGGUAGAUCGCUGGGAUUUCUUCUAGUCAUCCUUCCUACUUGUGCUGGUUAAACUUUCGUCAACUUGACCCAAGUCAGGUUCAUCUGGGAAGAGAGGACCUUAACUGAGAAAAAGCUUCCAUUGGAUUUGUUCUGCAGGCAAGUCUGCAGGGUCAUGUUUUGACUAAAACAUUGAUGUGAGAGAGACUAGCCCACCAGGAAGGGGUCACCCCUGAGCAAGCUGGCCCUUCCAGCUUAGAAAACAGGCUGAGCAAGCCAGGGCGGAGCAAGUCAGUAAGCAGCAUUCCUCCAUGUCUCCUGUGUCACUUUCUGCCUUGACUUGCCUCAGUGAUGCAGUGUGAUCCGAGAUGUAUAAACCACAUGAAUCUCCCGGUUGCUUUGCUUGUGUUGUUAUCACAGCAAUAGAAAGCAA
rnacentral:lncRNA from 1 species